rnacentral:tRNA from 1 species
CCCCUCGUCGUUCAACGGAUAGGACACAAGCCUCCGAAGUUUGAGAUAGAGGUUCGACUCCUCUCGAGGGGA